rnacentral:lncRNA from 1 species
UUUUUUUUUUAGGUUAAGCCAUUCAGCAAGCUUUAUUGAUUCGAGAGAAUAGUUACAUCAUUUAUAAGAAAUUGGCGAAUAGAUGCAGGGGAUCAUCUAUCCAAACACAAGAACUUUUUCCUAACAUUGCUUGCCUAGCCAGCUCAUGAGCUACAAAAUUACUCUCCCUAUUACAGUGGCUAAUAGAAAUUGCGGCAAAGUCCGCCCAAGGCCAACAACAUUCGUCAUAUAUUGCCGCCGAAGCCGUAGCUGAGAAACCUCCACCUAGUAUCAACCACCUCCAUACAAUCAGCUUGGAUUUGCACCCGAUUAGAACCAACCUGCUGGGCCAAUAAUAGCCCGUCUCUCAAAGCUGAAGCUUCCGCCAUAGCUGCGUCUAGCACAUGAGAGAUAUAGCUAUACGAAGCUACGAUGAAGCCGCCCGAGGCAUCUCGUAUGACCGCGCCAGUACUUCCCACCCCCGUAAUUUCUUUAAAGGAUCCAUCUACAUUAAUCAUAAGGAAUCCCUCCAACGGCUUCUUCCAAGAAUUGUUGACCACAGUCGAUAUCUUGACGCUAAAGCAUAAUUUGUUAUGAUCACCGCAAUUGACAUGGCUGCUCUGGCUGGACUCUGAGUUUCUUCCCUAUAUACAACUUGUCUUCGUUGCCACCAAAUGAACCAACAACCUGUUCAGCCAAGCCUACAUUUUUAAACUCCUUGGCCAGACCUCCUUGCGAAUUACCUCCUGAAUCAUUACAGAUCCCGAUCUAUCCACCACCAGCAGUUUUUCGAUUAUUUCCCACACACCGAGAGACAGCCAAACUUCCCUUGCUCGGCUACAAGAGAACAAUGCAUGUUUUAUAUCCUCCGCUCCUGUUAAACACCCGGGGCAAUUGCACAUAUCGGAAAUAUGCUUGUUUGCCAAGAUUACAUUGCACGGUAUACACCCAUGGAGGGCUCGCCAUACAAAGAUUUUAAUCUUACUUGGAAUUGAGAGCUUCCACAAUUGGCGCCAUACAAAGCUGGGCCUGUACCACCUGGUGCUGCAUUGUGGUUGUGAUCUCCAAACUUAUAAUUCCAUUGGACAUGAUAAGCUAUUCUUAUCGAAAAUAGGCCAUUCCGAUUGUGAUGCCAGGCCACCACAUCCUCACGUCCAUUAACAAUAGGAAUUUGAAGAAUUCUGUUAGCAUCAACAGACCAAAAUAUAGAUCGAAUCAAUUGCACAUCCCAUCUUCCAUCCACGGGGUUAAUCAAUUCAUCCACCGUGGAAACUAAGACAUUGCCACGUGGAGUUAAAACCUUCAUAUUAUGGCUACCGGGGAUCCAAUUAUUAUUCCAAAUAUUAAUCUGUGAGCCAUCCCCAAUUCUCCAUAUAUAUCCUCGUUUGAAACAUUCCAACCCUGCUAGAACACUCUGCCACGUAAAGGAGCUUCCACUCUUCAUUCUUGCCUGAAGUAAUUUGCCAUCAGGAUAAUAUUUCGCUCUUAGUACUCUUGCACAUAGCGAUUCUGGCUCACUAAGCAACCUCCAGACCUAUUUUACCAACAUUGCUAAAUUAAAACUGUGGAAAUCUCUAAAGCCCAUACCUCCUUUGUUCUUUGGUAUGCAUAGCUUCCACCACGCCUGCUAGUGGAUCCUCUUCUUCUCAUCGUCAUCCCCCCACCAAUAUUGCGAGAUAGCAUCAGUCAUCCCUUUGCAUAUGUUUUUUGGAAUUUUGAAUACCAUCAUCGCAAACGUUGGUAUGGUUUGAGCGAUUGAUUUGAUCAGGACCUCCUUCCCCCCCAUACUUAGCUGUUUAUCCUUCCAACCAUUAAUCCUCAACCGGAUUCUAUCAAUAAGGUGUCGGAAGCAAUCACUUCUGUCAGCUCCCACCAAAGCCGGCAGCCCUAAAUAUUUAUCAUUGAGAGACUCAUUCGAGAUAUUCAUGGAAUUUAUAACCUCCACCUUCACCUCAGGAAGUGUAUUGCUAGAAAAGAAGAUACUCGAUUUAUUCACACUCAACAUCUGGCCUGAGCUUUGACAGUACGUGUCAAGAAUAUUCUUGAGGCAAUCUGCAUUUUUCUUAUCAGCGUGCGUAAGAAUUAGAGAGUCAUCCGCAAAUAAUAAGUGUGAAACCAUCGGGGCUCCUCUACAGACUUUUAUCUCCUCCGGAUCACCAUUCUCCUCGGCAUUCUGGAUCAUACACGAUAGGCCUUCUGCCACCAUGAGAAACAAGUAGGGGGACAAAGGGUCCCCUUGAAGGAUACCUCUGGUUGGUGUAAAAAUAUCCGUCUCCGUUGAAUUGAAUCGAACUGUGUACCUGACUGACGAUACACACGCCAUAAUCAGCCGCACCCAUCUAUCAUCAAAUCCCAGCUUGAGCAUCAUUUUCUCUAGGAAAGCCCAUUCGACUCUGUCAUACGCCUUAUGCAUGUCCAGCUUAAUAGCACAGAGCCCACGCUUCCCCUUCUUCCUCCUUAUAGCAUGAAUACAUUCAUAAGCAAUUAGAAUAUUAUCAGUAAUCAGCCUGCCUGGCACAAAUGCACUUAGGUGUCCGCUGAUGACCUCCGGAAGGAUACCCUUCAAUCUAUUUGAGAGCAUUUUAGAGAUAAUCUUAUACACAACAUUGCAUAAACUAAUUGGGCGGAACUGAGGCUCCAUAUCUGGAUUUUCCACUUUGGGAAUCAUCACAAUCGUGGGGUCAUUCCAUCCUUCAGGAAUAGUAGCCGUGUUCACUGCCUGCAGAACUUCUUUCACCAGAUCAUCCCCAAGCAUUCCCCAGAACCGUUUGUAGAAAAUAGCAUGUAGUCCGUCAGGCCUCGGGGCCUUCAAGGGUGCGUUUGGUUUGGAGACAAAGUGGGACGGGAUGAUCCUGUCCCUAUUUUUUGGUACGGGACGAUCCUAUUUCAUGUUUGGUUGACAAGGACAAGUUCGUCCCAGUUUUUUGUUUGGUACGAGGGAUUGAGGGAAUGGGAUGGAUAGCGAUUUUAACACCGUUAGGCAUAAUAAAUGGACUCUACAUGUUAUACAAAAGUGGACCCACUUGUCAUUGCCUAUUCCAUAUUUUUCUUUUUUUUUUCAUCCCUCGCGAGCUCCUCCGGGCGGAGGCCAUAGGCGCGGCCCGCCGGCUUGCUGGCGCCACCCCUCCGGGGUCGACCUCACCGGCGCAGAGGCCGUGGCCGUGGCCCGUCGGCGCGCCGCCGCUGCCCCUCCGGGGUCGACCUCACCGGUGCGGAGGCCGUGGCCCGCAGGCACGUCGCCGCCGCCCCUCCGGGGUCGAGCUCCCCCGUGCGAAGGUUAGCCCCCGCGCCUUGCCUGGUGAGCUCGCGCGCGCCGACCGCGGCGGAUCUCGCCCGCGCUCGCCGGUGGCUCGUCCCUGCCGCCCAAAAUCGCCCCCUCCGCCGAUGGCUGUCCGCCACCCAAGCUCGGCCCCUCCGCCGGUGCAAACGAACGGCGCGUGACGGGGGCGAAGUGGGAUGCCCCCAUCCGCUCGUUUUGGUGGGACGGAGGCAUCCCGCAUCUGGAGGGUAUAUUCCCUCCUGGGGAUGUCCCCGUCCCACCUGUCUCCAAACCAAACGCGGGACGAAGUGGGAUCGUCCCAUCCCGUCCCACUUCGUCCCUUGAACCAAACGCACCCUAAGUCUCCAAUAGAAAAUAGUGCCUUUUUCACUUCUUCCGCAGAGAAUUCUGCUAAUGGACUUCUAUUCAUCUCAGGGGUUACCUUCCGCUUAACCGCAUGAAGCAUCGACACAUCAACUUCGUUAAUUUCUGAUUGGAAUAAUUGAGAGAAAUAGUUUUGCACCAUCGAGCACAUAGUACUACUAUCUUCAUGUCGAACCCCCUGAUCAUCCACCAAGCACCGAUCAAAAUGAGUUCGUGUUGGUUCAACUUUUUUUCUUCAUUUAGAUUAUUAUUUUUUUGUCAGAUCUCGUUUCGGAAUAAAAGUACAAGAGCGCAUUUCAGGGGAAGACAUGCAAAUGUGCUCUUGAAUGCAAAACAAACGAGGCACGACAUGCGAAUCAUAGAGUUGUUAGAGACUUUUAGAACCAAUACAGCUUAAUUAAACGCAAAGUUCAGACACCUAAAACCACUAUUGGCGACGCUUAUUAGCACGUGGUACUUGGAUUGAUAGAGUAAACAGUGCAUAGAAUUAUGCUUGCCAAUCAACCAAACAAUUAUGCAUUGCUGCAUUAAGUAGGAGUCCCAUUCCCUUCUCAUCUCUCUCUUCUCGUUCUCUGUCACACUAAAAGGAAAAUAGCGCAACGCCCUGCCAUGUCUAGAAGUCAAUCGGUCAAUCGUAUCCAGGACAGGAUACCCCACUAGGAUCCUAAUUCUGGGCCACCACAUGGUUCUUAGACACUUACCAGCAAAGGUCUUGCAGAAUUUCCAAACAGUAUGCAGUCAGGUUUUCCCCCUCAAAAGGGUAACAAGUUUCAGGCUAGAACACCCUCAAAUAAAUUUCAGACAACUUGAGUCCUUGACGAUGCUGGAUGCUAUAACUGGUGCGUACCCGGUUUACCGAAGCAUUGCCCUGCCGAUCAACAUGAUGAUUAGUUAUACCAUUAUUACUGUAGCACGAUUCUGAUUCCCUCUCGUCAGGCCAGGGGAAAAGGGAGCACCAGCGUGUGUCGGUGCUGUUCUUUCUCCCACUGACUGCACCUCUUGAGCCAAGAGAAAACGACCGGCCUCGCUGCAGUCUGCAUGGAAGUUAUGGACACGACGACGACUCCCCAUCCGCUGCUGACAACGCCAUUCAUCCAUCCAUCGAUCCAUCCGACACCGUGGUCACCAACCGGUUGUUAUGCUAAUCUCUCCGCGUGACCCCGGCCACUUUGUCGUCGGCUCAUCGCUAUUGCUGACGCUACGUUCCAAAUGACAGAAUCAAUCAGAGAUUCAGAGGACAAGGUCACAAGGAAUGUAGCAAAGAUGUUCUGACCCUUUCCUCAUUUCAGGUCUUAGCAGCAGCCGCCGACAGCAGAUCAAAAUCUUCACCUGCCACAGGAUGUAAAGCGAUGCAGGAGUACGACGAGAGUGUUCCACAGUGGCAUUAGUAUCUUUACCAAAUCUCUCUUUGUUUUUCUCUUGAGUUUUACUCAUAUAUGCACAGACUGCAGGAGAAGAUAUAAGUAGCAGCUUGGCAGUUCAGUUCGGUCGCUUCUCGCCACGUCGUCUAUGGCUAUACCACCAUGCAAGCUACUUCACUGAAUACGAGUACAAGCAUACAAGGAAUCAUUAAGGAGAACGAUCCAAGAGCCUGACGUUAUUUAAUCGGCGGAUAAGUGCAGUUCAAUGCCGAGCUCACUCGCACAAGUGGUUGCGGAGCACGUACGGCAGCGAGUCUGAGCCGCUUGUCUAGGCCGUCAUGGGCAUGGCCAACGCCAACAAGCGCAUCAACCUCACAGCGCCGCUUCUGUCCGUCCGGCGCCACGGUGGCGAUGGCACCGAGACCACGGUCACGGGGUUGCCGGCAUCAUACAAGGCGGACGCCAGGUCGGGGGCUUUGGGCGACACCGGCGCCGUGCCGUUCGGGUGGGAGCACCGUCCCGGCCACCCCAAGAGCGUCCGCACCCGCCGGCCGCCGCCGGUGCCUUCCUUGACGAUCAUCGCCGACGACGAUCCCAAGCGCGCGGCGCAGGAACGGGCCGCGGCGGUGAUCGUGGCCUCCGAGCGCGCGCGGGAGGAGGAGCUCUUCUCGGACGCGCUCUCCCGCGACGACGUCAGCUGCGUCACCGUGAACUGCAGCGCGACGACCGUGCUCAGCGACGCCGCGGGGGCGGGGGCGCGCGGAGGGCCGCCCCGCGCCCGCGGCGGCAGCGUCAUGAUGGAGCGCUUCCUGCCGGCCGCGCACGCCGUGGCCGCGGGCUCCCCGCAGAACACCUUCCGGAAGGCCACGCGAUCGCCCGCGGUGGCGAGCGCGCGCACGGGCGGCGGCGACAGGUCGCCAGCGCGAGCGCAGAGGCGGCUGCCCCUCCAGCACAUCGCGGCGUAUCACCUGCCACCCCUCCCUCCCGGCGCAGGCAAGAACGAGGAGGAGGAGGACGACGACGACGACGCCGAGUCCGACGCGCACAGCACGGCGGGCUUCGCGUCCAGGAGGUGCGGGUGGCUCCCGAGCCGGUGCGUGAAGAGCGCCAGGCUGCUCUCCCGCGGAUCGCGGCUAGGGGUGGGCAGACCGUUCCUGCCCAUCGGCAGCGGAAGCCGGAGAGGAACGGAUCCACCACUGCUGCGGCGAUCGCGGAACGGGCAGCAGCAACCGCAGCAUACCGGCGACGAUCCCGGCAUGGUAUCGCUGUUGCUGUUACAUAUCGUCGCGUGCAUGGACUUCACUUCUUGCGUGCCGUUGAAUUCACUGUGCCAUGCAUGAACAGCUCACAUCUUCUUGUGGAAUCUCGCAGCAAUCGUGGGAGGAGGUGUACAUCAAAUCGCUGCUCCGAUCAGGCGGCGGCGGCGGCGGCGGCCUGAUGGGACCGGCGGCCGCCGUGGCCUCAGAGCUGGACAGAACAGUGCGCGAGCUCUACAGGCACCGAGGAGGACAGACCGUCCAACCGAAGCCGAAGGCGAGCCACCUCGGUCUGCUCCUGGUUCUCGACAGGUCAAACGAGGAUUGCGGCCGGGUGUACAAGAAGUACCACGGCUCGUCGGCGUGGAACCUCCCUAAAACCGGCGACGCCCCAUUGCCGCUGCCGUCUACAGAAAGCUCGCCGAACUCCGGGAACAAGCUCGGGCGUGGCGUCACCGGCGACUACGGUUUCCCGCUGCUCCUGGAAGACGCGGAGGCCGUCGCCGGGCGUGAGAUGGCGCUGUCGCCGACGCCCCUGCUCCCGUUGCCGCUGCCCGCGUCGCCCACGGAGUCGUGGCUGUCGCGCGCGCUGCCUUCGGUGUCAGCCCGGCCCCCGGCGGCGACGUCUUUCCUGGGCCUCCAUGUGCAGCCCAAGAAACAUGCCCCGCUGCCGUCGUGGUGCGCCGUUGAUUCGGGCAGGGGCGCCGACCAUGACAGGCAACGGCAAAGGCGCGUGCACGAUCUGCAGAAAUAAUGGAACCUACCCUGGCAUGAUGUUGUGCGUCUGACUUUGCAUGAUCGUGCCAACUGCUAAGUAGUUGCUCCGGGUGCUUAUCUAGGAAUGUGAUGGGUUCUUGGUAAUCUCCAAGGGCGUGUAGCAUGCUUGUAUCGACAAUGUUCCAUAUAUGCAGCUCCAGAUAAGUUGAUGCCAAUGUAAAGUAUACUACCCAUGCUGCACAAUGUACUGUUAGCACAUUACUCCAUGUUUUCGUUAUCACCUGGCCCAACAAACAUUAGUAAAUUUUAGCAGUAGCCACAAUUAGAUAUGCUCAUACGUAAUCGAUCAUGUCUGGUAAAAAAACAACCAUCAGCUUUGACGAAUGCAGAGGAAUGUAAGUUUAAGUGUUUAACAUCACAUUGGAUCGGAAUAAGGCAUUAUGAGUAACCUCACCAAGAAAGGGAGUGCCAUUUACAACAAUAAGCCAUCGUCAUCUCUUCAACAACAUAGACGUGCAUCCAUAUAACUCAAAUCAUUAGGCGAUCACAAGAAACAGUCAAGCUAGGGGCACCUGUUUCUUAUCGCCUUUUCUCCCAGCUCUGGGCAACUAGUUCAGACUAUCUGCUACAAUUUGGUCCCCCACAUAAUUGGUAAACAAACCGAGAGUCACUUAUUCACAAGCCAGCUUCGUGCCAAAGCUGGUGAGGCAGAUGGCAAACGCCUGGAAGGCUGACAGAGGCUGCCGGUAGUCCAUCGUGAACGCAUCAUCCUCUAUCUUGCCAAACUGCAGGAUCACCGUCUCCUCAUCUCCAACGCCCCAUGGGCCACCGGAGCCAGCUGUGGCGACGAGCUGGAAGUUCUUCACAGAGGCGACGGUCACCCGGCCAUGGAAAUUUAAGCACCAGCAUUGCAGAUGCUCGUGCCAUCGUGGAGCUUUGUUCUUUAGAUCUAAGGAACUCGGAGCGGGUGUUUUCUCCUUGGAAGGAUCUGAUGCCGUGUCCUGACCUACAGGGCACUGGAUACUGCACUGCAUUCGUCUUGGUCCUCUUGAUUUCAGGAAGUUAAACUUAUAUGUCACCUGUCCUACUUCGUAAUUGCCUCCUGAAACCUGUGGGCUUAUUUGCUUGCUUGUAAAGCGGCGACUAGAUCGGCUCCUCGAGGGUUUAGCACCAUUAUAUGGUGCCUGGCUAUCAUAGAUGAUGAAUUUUGUCCCCAGGAAAUCAGAUCUACAAGCAGAAGGCACACGAUCAAAUUAGCAUUCUUGCAAGCCUUUACAACAAGAAGAAUAUAAGAAAACUCCCAUAAAGUGCCAAAUUAUAACUCUAUUAGUAUAACAGCAGAUGCUGGAACAAAUGCAUUUCAAAGUGGUAGGAAGUCUGGUGUGUCUCCUAUCUCCAUAGAGGUUAGGGCUAGUGUUUGUAGGAUUGAGAAAGCCUGAUUGUAGGACUAGUUUCUGUUGGUUUAGGGCUUCCAAUUUAACAUGUGCUUGAUAUGGUAUCUAAACUCUGUUCCCUCACAUCCAGACUUCCAGAUGUCACCGCCUUGUUGACCUGCAUAUGGAUCUAAUGCUCGUCCAUUAUUGUCCCAAUCAACUGUAUGCUGCAACAAGAUCUGACAACCCUUCCCCCAUCAAUUACACAUUCACCUGUAUUGAAAUUGAGCAUCCUGUGCUGUAAGAAUUAAAAGCCUAAGCUGUACAACAUCGUGCUGAUGCUUCUACACUUGCAGGAAUUUAUAAGAUUAUGUUUGUAUUUUAUUCCGCUUCUACAGCCUACUCUCUUCUGGAUAUACAAGACUUUCUUUCAAUAUUCGCAAUAUUUUUAUCCAAUACAAUGAAGGGGUGGAAGUGCAUAUGACUAUAUGAGCGCUGAGGUACCUUGUAUAAUGCAGAGCUAGAUCUAGAUCUCGAUCAGGUAUUGAUACAGGUGGAUGGGCCACACCUUUUAACAAGGUUGGCCGCAUGAUGACAUGAUGGGAAAUCAAAGAUAACACAUAAAAGGGGAAGGAAAAUCUUGAAUUUGUAUCCCUUUCAUGGUGCUAUACUUGCAAACAAAUCAAACACAAAUGUUUAUAAUGCAGGUUUGUACACGCUUACAGGAUUCAACGAACCAAACUCUGGGGUUACAUAUUACGAAUUUAGGGGAGAACACAUGCUGCUAGAUGGAGAAUUGAUCCAUCAUAGCAGCUUAAUAUGUAAGAGAAGAGUAUGAUACAGGAUAUUAUUGGGUUUGAGGUUGUGUGCUGGGGGCAACAAUGGCAGGUACAGUGAGUUAUGGAGUUCAUGUACGCUGUAGUCAAUUUAUAAAGAAAUAAGCAGGGCAUGAAUAGCAUGAAAACAUAAAGCACCAAUGUGCAUGUAACUUCUAUUAAUGGAAGUUCAGAGGCGAGGCGAUAGUGUUUACUAUGCCCCUAUAGUCAACUUGGCAAGAAACAGGACAGUGUUUAGAGUAGAUUGUCCAAGAGAUUGACUCGAUUCCUUGUUUCCAUACAAAUGGCUCUUUUUACAGGUACUGCUAUUGAAAAAAAAGGAAAAGCUGCCAAACCCCCACCGUUGUAACUGGGCAAGAACUCAAUCUAUCAAUUAGCAGGAUUUCAGCCAUUGUUAGAUGAAUAUCCUAGAUACCACAGGAAUCUGUGGCAUCUGCGCUCACACUAGCAAUUUGCUAAUAAAAUGGUUCAAUCACAGAACUUGAUGAUGCAAAUGAACCUGGAUAAUGCAUAUGCAUAGACAAAAAUAACUACCAGAAACAAAGAGAUGAAGUGUUAAUUUAGUAAAUUAUUUGAACAAUAAAUCAAUGACAGAAGUACCAGCAAUGGAAACAAGGCACAUGACAAAUUCUAUGGCUCUAUGCAACAGAGACCUCAGCAUAUAGUCAAAAGAUGAACAUUUAACCUAGCGGGCAUGCAUAAUAAGCAAAUCAGGCAAUCAAUUUGGAAAAACUAGAUUCUGAAAUGAUAAGACCUUACCUUAACUUUCCAACAUAUGAAGUGCUUCCUGGGUGCAGAUCAUCAUAGUCAUAAGAGAUGAUAUAUUCUGUAUGUGCUCCUUGUCUGAACCUUCGAGCGGCCAAAAGAAACUUCCCUUUAUCCGUUAGGGCUGCCAAGCGAGUUGCAGUCAGAUAUUUAUACAAGAAUUCCAGACAAAGUGUUCACACAAACAAACGAUCUACGAUGAAAGAAGGAUGCUUUUUUUUGCCACAAUCUCUACAACAAGCUAAUUUUGAUUGAUAUUGCUGGGAGGUAAUCAAAUAUAACCAUUCAAUAUUUUCCAAUAUCCAAAAAGAUCCGUCAAAUAUGGACCGCAGAAAAAAUGCUAUGAACACUUUAUUACUAAGGAGAGGUUCAAUACACACAUAACCUCAAAAGGUAUGCAACUCGAUACUACCAUAACCCUAGUUAUCUAGUCAUAUUCUUCAUUGAAAGUAGUUUUAUACUAUUAUUUAUUUAUAAGAACACCCAAGAGAUCAACUGAACUAAUGCUGCACGCCUGCACUUUUUUUUGUUUCUAGUUCCCAAGCCGCAAUGUCCACAUACCAUACUCGUGUUAAACUGUGACCCUAUUUAUACAGUGAAUCAUACAGUUGACAGGAUGAGAGCCAGUAUAUUCAAAGCCUUGCACAUCUUCCUUUGGCAGAUCAUACGUUGAACUGAUUAUGAAAUGCAUCAUGCAGAGUUCCAAAACUCCGUUAAACAUUGCGAAAUCAUCCACUUCACAGGUUCUGCUAUGUAUUAUCAUGCCAACCAGGUAGAGUUUCCAAAUAUUUAUAUUGACUAUUAAGAUCAAAUCAAGUAGAUGUUCAAGUCACUGCCAAGAAUGUAUUCAAUUAAAAAAAUCAAUGACCAAUUACAGAAGCCAUAUCUUCAUACAGCGUGGAUAGGAUUAUAUAUAAGCAGCAGUGCAGCACCAUUUAAAAAUUGUAGAUAGAGACGGCAAAGUAGGUGUACGGGUCGUUGUCAAAAUGGUAUAAGAAAGCUGUAAAUGAUUACAAGAAGAAACAAGAUAACGUUUCCUUUCCUGUUUUAUAAACAAGACUAGGUACAAUCGCGCGAUGUCAAAAGUCCUAUGCAAAAGGAACCUCCGCAGAGGUACCAGCUGUAAUUUCUGCUCAUUUGGCACUAAACUUCUAAAAAAGAUUUGACAGAACUGUAGGAUUCCAACAUCAAAUAUCAUAGGUGGAUAAGGAACAUCAGAAAGCCAGUCAGUAUCCUCUUUAGUUGCUUACUUGGCACUACCUAUUUAAAUCGGAAGAAAGAUCCGAAACCCCUGUUGUAAUCCACAACGGGCACCAGAUGGAUAAUAUCAUGAAAUCAUAAGCAUGCCAGAACAAGAAGUAUCCAUGCUUACUCACCCUGUGUUAAGCUGAGGUAAAGGGAAAAGGUUGAGUUCUUUUUGUCCCUCCUGAUAAAGCAGUGCAUUGGUGCAUCCCUUGGUCCAGGCUGUGCAAAAGAAAAGGAAAAUAUAGGCAUCCAUUAAAUCAAUAUGCAGAAAGCCCAAGCGAAGAAGUAAGCUUUUAGGUAGUAUCAUAUUGUUAUUUACUGACCAGAACAAAACCCAGCUAUCCCAUAGGAACAUAAAGAAAUUCCACAUUUGUGCCAACUUCUCCACUAUGAUCAUACUUUAUUAGCACUAGCCACCAAGAAAUAUAGUGCUAUGUAGCCAAACAAAGAAAACAAAGAGGAUAGUGAUUAAGGUAAACAUGUGGCUCGCUCCUAAAUCAAAACAUCGCACAAGACCAAUACAACAACCGCAAGAACAACAACAAUAAGAUCUCAAAUAAAUAAACAUUUGAAAUUGUUAGGCUACAAACACGGAUCUGCUCAAUCCUUGUGACCAUGAGAACAUAUAAAAUCUAACAAAUAAUUUUUUUUACCAUUUUUUGUGUACAAAUAAAAUUGAAUAGACGUAGACGUCAAUUCUGAAACAGAAAAAUAAUAAAAGAAGAAAACUAAUUUCCAACGACUGAUGCAGAGAUCGCCUCAGAUCAAGUCAAACUGCAUAAGAAAAAGGCGCAGAAGACAUUUCCUGCAUCUACUGUUUGAAAUCCAUGACACCCAUAGAACUUUUUUCGCUUCUGAUUUUAUUCUUUACAAGGAUAGAAAUGGAUCCUAAGAAAACGCACAGCCACAAUAACCAUGUGGCCCAAAUCCUCAAAUCACACAGCAAUUUCUGGCGAUGCAUAAAAAAAAGUGCGUUACCCAAACAGAUCAAUACAACAACUAUUUUGAGACAGGCCUCGCCUCACCUGCUUGAGCGACGACGGGAAGGUGAUCCUCCCGCCCUCGAGCGGCGGCCGCACGACCGAGAACGCGGCGUCCCUCCACCGCCGGCACACGCAGGCGCAGACCACGACGUCCCGCCGCAGCGGCCACCGCUCGGCACCGGCGUCGACGCGCCGCACGAUCUCCGUGAGCAGCUCCGGCAGGAGGCGCGACCACCGCUCCUCGUCGACCUCCUCCUCCUCCUGGGCCGCCGGACCCACCUCCGGCGUGACCUUCGCCUCCCCGCCGACGGCGCCGCCGAGCGAGGAGCGGGAGGCGGACGACAGCCAGGACGCGCUGCGCCGCCAGGAGACCAUGGUCGGGCGGCCGGGCGCCGAUUUCCGCCCCCCCGAAGCGUCUAGCAGCUUCGAGACGAGAUGGGGAAGGAGAUCGAUUGGCGCGAGCGGAGCGGGGGAGGAAUAAAGGGGGGAACGAAGCAGCGAAGAGAAGCGAGCGAGAGAACAGGGAAGGAACGAAGAAAAAGAAUUGACGGAAAAAACGAGCCGGGAAUCGAGAAAGAAAAAUGCUCGUCGUGCGCCUCUCGCUCGGUGCUCGCAUGCAUCUCCGCCUAAUUAUACGCCCCCCAUCUGCCAUGACACGUGGGGCCAUCGAGCGCGUGGGCCCCACAUGGUAGUGCGGAAGCGGUGGGUCGCAGUCGCAGCUGCCGCGACAGUACACUCGUGCUCGCUCCCGAGUUUUUCCACCUCGCACCUCAACUCUACUGCGAAUUUUUGUAAAACUUGCACAGUUUUUUUUUUUGUCAAACUGGCUCUGGCUUCCAACUCGGGUCAUCCACUCAUCCUUGACCACUUCGCAGCGUAUCCGAUCUUCCGCAGUUUUGAAUCGGACUGGAUCUCCGGACCUAACAUUUAAGAAACAGAUGGUAGGUUGUAAACUCCUCGCUAAUUAAGACAUUUUUUUAGAAAGAAUUAAGACGUUAGGUGAACCGUGCUAGAAACUUUCCAUCACAAUACAUUACCCCCCGUCUGUGGCCUUUGUGGUGCGGUGACGACACCACCCCCCAGUCCAACCACCUGACAGCGGUCGCGACGAGACGACGCGGUGAGCUCAGCUUCGGCGUCAAACUCCCCAGCACGGCAGCAUCAAACAGCGCGCGCCCUGCAGAGCUGAAGAACGGGGACUGGAGCUGGAUGGAAAGGUCGCCGCGCCGGGGCCCGCUCGCUCCCCCUCAUCGGCGCCCCACGCCCGGCAGACCAACCACCGCCCCGACCGCGACGUCCCCGCGCGCGCACCCCGGCCGCCCAAGCCCCCCGAUCCCACCACCACCCCGGGCGCCAUCCAUCCGCGCGGGCGCCACGUCGCGGUCCACCAGCGCGCGCGCGCGGAGUCGCACGGCGCGGCACGACACGAGCCUUUCUGGCUUCCUCCUCCGAACGCCCGCGACAGCGGCGGGCCGGGUGUUUUCCACUGCCGCUGACUGCGCUCGCCUUGGACGCGCGCGCGGCCACCUGCGGGUGCCGGCCUGCCGGGGCCGGGGCUGCGGUGACCUGCUGACUUGGCCAUCUCCAGUGGGCCGCGGGGCCACUCGCUGCUGCUUGGGUUUGACUGAGUUGUUCUCGUGGUCCAGGCCUCCAGGCCCCCCAUUGUGCUGGCGUCGGACGCCUCAAGCCGCACGCUUGGAAAACGUCUUGACGACGAGUCCGGGAUCCGGAUAUCCAGAGAUAUCUUGAAGCAGCUGGGCCUGCGCGGCAUCGUGCAUGAUUGAUCGCGCACUAAGGUGAUAUUUUAUUAGCGAGGUGUUUGAUGGCUCUGUUGACGUUGGCCCCACGUCGCUGAUGGCAUCUGUCAACUGUCAUUGUGGUUGAUUAGAGGGAUUGUAGGCCCAGUUGAACUUGAACUGUGGCGAGGCCUGCAAACAAACAGCUGUGCUGCUGAGUUUGCACGAACUGGACUUACUCCCUCCGUCCCAAGUUAACUGCAUUUGUACAUUCAAAAAAAUAUCCCAAAUUAAACGCCAUCAAUCCCAAUAUUCCAGCCUCCUGUCAUGCUGCCCACCAGUGUUACAGUGUACUCAUUUGUUAAAAAAGCUGAAGCAUGUGGGUCCCAUUUGCUAAAAAAAACUGAAGCACCCUAGCAGCCCAGCAAUCUUUCGUGCCCUCAAUCUUCCAGCCGCCUUGUUUCUGCUGCCUACUGUUACCUUUACCUAGGGGUAGAAUUGUAAUUUACCAUCAAUACUAAUUUGCUUCUCAAAUUCUAAAAAUGCAGUUAUAAUGGGACGGAGGGAGUACUCCUCUUGGCCCCCACGAUCAGGGUCCCCCGCAAUCCACAAGCUGUUUGCGCUGGAUGUCUGAAUAGCAGAAUAGGUAAGUUCAUAUAAAGAGGAUAUACCGAUACGAUUUAUAUGGGAAAAGAGCACUCUGCAAAUUUGAAAAGUACAAAAAUCAGGUAGUCGCUGAACUCUCGAAGCAGAUACAUACGUUAGAACAUUUUCUACUGAACCCUGUACGCAGCAAGCCAGCAACAGUCUUCUCUCAUUUCUCGAUCAUCAACUGUAAUCUUUACUUGGCCACAAGAUUGUUAGUGUUACGCCCUUCUCAGGAAGAACACACACUUCCUCCAGCCUAAAAUAUAUUCCAUUGCAGCAGCCAUCAGCACUGUGGGUGUGGGUGCCAUUCAAAAGGUUCUGAAAGUUCUACAGACAGCAACACAGGAAGAGAACUGCACCAGCAGCUUCAGUGAGUGGACUCAACUGCUCGAGAAAACUGACCAAUGAACUCUGAAAUAGUUCAGAACCUGCAAACAGCAUGAACAAGUCAAUUAAGCUGGUCCAUUUGGAACAGAUCAACUGCUUCCAGACAUUUCAGCUUCUAAUAUCUUGCUGGAAUCUGGUAGCGUCCACCGAACAGUUCUAGUAGUUUCCACAUCUCAUUCACUAUCAAAGUAUGAAUUUUAGUCAUUAUGCACCAAGUAGGAGAAGAAUUCACAGCAGAUGCUAGCUUAAACUCAUUAUUCACAAAAUAAACCGAAGAAAAUAAAGCUCCAGACACGGAUACCAUGGAGUUCACCUGCUGCUGAAUGUUUGUAUCAGCUGUUUUCUGGAGGAAGGCAGGAAGCAACCUUAGCUCGGUACUGUUAGUUUCAAGCCAGUUGGCUCUGUUAGUUUCAAGCUGAGACGCUGUCUGUUUAACCAGAAAACUGACCAAUGAACUCUGAAAUCGUUCAGAACCUGCAAACAGCAUGAACAAGUCAAUUAAGCUGGUCCAUUCGGAACAGAUCAACUGCUUCCAGACAUUUCAGCUUCUAAUAUCUUGCUGGAAUCUGGUUGCGUCCACCGAACAGUUCUAGUAGUUUCCACAUCUCAUUCACUAUCAAAGUAUGAAUUUUAGUCAUUAUGCACCAAGUAAGAGAAGAAUUCACAGCAGAUGCUAACUUAAACUCAUUAUUCACAAAAUAAACCGAAGAAAAUAAAGCUCCAGACACGGAUACCAUGGAGUUCACCUGCUGCUGAACGUUUGUAUCAGCUGUUUUCUGGAGGAAGGCAGGAAGCAACCUUAGUUCGCUACUGUUAGUUUCAAGCUGAGACGCUGUCUGUUUAACCAAUACAAACCUGGUGAGCACAUUAGUCUGCUUCAAAUCAGCACAAGGCAGGCUGCACGGAACGACUUCAAUGUUGUACCGGCAUAUGCACUUGACUUUGCACAUGUUUGCGUUUUAUGCAUUUGCCCGCGCUUGUAUUCUGUGACAGCAGGCUCCAAGUCCUCUGCAAGUACAUAAAGUGACAGAUGGCUUGACUUUAGGUGGUGCAUAUGCAAUGAAUUAACAAUGAGGGAAAAGAAUGAAGCCUCCCACUGAGCUGGUUCACUCUGGCACAUGGAGCUUCACGAAAAAAAAAUAACCUGCAAAAACCCUUGGACAUAGAGAAGCAAAAUAUAACAUGAAAAAAGAGAGAGAAAAUGCACCUGUGAGUCUGUGACAUGUAGCUGUCUUGAAAGAGUAUGGCAUUCAAUUUUUGUGUAUUUUAAACAAGCAAGUAAGACAAUUUAUGACAUGGACAGUGUAUCAAAACAUCACAUUUCCUCCACGCGUUCAUUUUAGCUUAAAUGCUAAUAGUUUCGAAGUCAUGAUUUUGCUAGGUAUAUUUCACUGUCACAAUUAAUUGAUCCCACUCAAUAUACUUUUACUUUUUUUCUUGAUGAAGUGACUUUACUAAAAUUGGCUUUUGAUUGCACUCAAUGGACUAGGUUUUUUCUCUUGAUGAAAUGCUUUUACCAAAAAUUGGUAUUUGGUGCUACAAUUCGAUGAAAUUCCAUGGGUAUACAACUAUACAUCUUAAUGAUGGUGAGCACUGCGGCAUGGUUGAAACAGAAUGAAACCAAAGAAUUUUCACUGCAUCACAUGAGCGGCCAGGAAUAUCCAUCCUUGGUAAUUACUUUACGUAACUGAUGUAUGUAGUUAUAGCAACGAAGAAUCUUAAAUACAAGUUAUAUUUACCAAUUUCUCCUCCACACAAAAAUAAAGCUGAGGCAUCCAUCCUGACAUCCCAUUUAGUUAGAUUAGCAAAACACACAAGUCAUAAUUCUAUUUACAAACAGUAUGAAGUGAGAAUUUCUACAGUACAGAUGGAUGCUUGACAACCAACAACCAACUGGAUACUCAGCAUGACAAUUCUUUCAACAAAGAAAAAAGUUUUGCUGGAGCACUUAACUUCGAUGUUUCUUUCCAAUGAUGUCAUGAUGUCUAGAGAACAGAAUACAAAUUGCCACAGUGCAAUCAAACUUUGGCAUCAUCGUUUAGAUGAAAUUUUCCUCAUGCAAAGUAAAUCACAAAUGGGGAGUCUAAAGUUUACACCCAUGCAAGCAAAAGAACUACACCCUUCGUAAACCUUGUUUUCUAAUUGAAUUUAGAUGAGAACAGCAUGAACUUGCAUGAAAAGCAAGAAUCUUUACAUUUUGGGGGGGAAUAAAUAGCACAAUUUUGAAUUCACUAAGAAAUGGUAACAAAGUUGAUAAGAAAUAUAGUGCAUGCAUGAGUUUUUGUCUGAGGUCUCCACGCUUUUUUUUUGCCACCAAUUACCCAUCCUAAUCGGUGUGAGUUGUUUGUACUAUUAGCCAUCUCCCAUUUAAUUUGGAUCAAAGAAAGUUCUCAGUUACUCCAUAUGUGAAGCUCAACAUCUACUGACCAAUAGCCAAUUCUUAUUCUAUACUCGUGUUCCACCAUCCCUAACAGAUGCACCAAAUUUACACCAAAUUUAAGAUUUUUUAAUAUUAGUGAACUACUAUUUCAUUUCAGUUUGAUCUAAUAGAAUGUUUUCAAUUAAUAAAUUGGUGAAGCUGGACGGCAGAGAACCAAUGGUCUUUUCAAUUUUACUGUAAUUCUUCCAGUUUUCGUGAGCACAACAAAAAGGAACUGAACAUACAAUAGUCUUUUGUUCACACCAAGGCCAAUAUUCCUUCUCCAACAAAUUUACAGAUGGCAUUUGUACACGAUGAAUAUACACAAUUGUAGCACAAUUACAUGUCUAACAACAUUAGAGGUAUAGCUGAUAAUGCUAUAGUGAAACGGGCACUCCUUUUAAACUGUAACAACUAGAAGAAUGUUUUGAUGAUGGAUAUUAGCACACAACCAGUAUCGCAAAACAUUUUGGAUUGCGGAAAGAAUAUUACUGAAAAGAAGUAACUAAGGAAAUCUAUGAACAAUAUUUUUCUGCACAGAUGCUUAUGCUGAAACAGAAACAUUCAUCCUUUCAAUCCAAAUUUCUUUUUUUUAAUAUUCCUUCCAAGCGAGAGCUCUACCUUUCAAGCUACUCAGUAUCAGAAGGUAUAUCCGGAACGGAGGCUGUAUGGUGCACAAGGUGCUGCAUCCCAGGUUUCAACUCCCUCUCGCAGAAGUCUUCAUACUCUUCCCUGUCCCCUGCCUUCAUCUUCACCUCCACCACCACAAGGCUUGGUGUGAGCUCAAAUACCUCGGCCCCAAUCGUCAACGGACCCUUCUCACUUUCCCUGGUGCCUUCAAGGCUCACCCGCCAAUCCUUCCGCCGAAUUGCAAAGCUCUUAACCUUUGCAAUCUCCUCCAAUUUUGUUAUAAUCGUUUGCAUGGGAUGUGCUGAGACAAACCUCACUUCGUUGCCUCGCUCCUCAAACAACCCCGACAAAUUGAAUCCUCUUGAGAAUGAUAUGAUAUCAAACGCAUUUAGACUUACUGGUCGUGUGAGAGAUCCAAGGGGCCGUCUUCUCUCCUCUGAUGACAAUGUGGCUGGACAGGAUGCUACAGACGAGUCUGAUUCCCACCCAGAGUCAUCACCUUCGUCCUCUUGCUGCGGUGGCGGUGGCGGUGGCGGAGGAGGAGGCUGACUAGGCCCCAGCUCCGGCACUUCAUUCUCAUCGUCUGCCAAGCUGUGCACCUGGUCAUCCUCGACAUAGAACCUGACUGGUCGGAACCCCUUCUGAAACCAUCGGCUCUCCAUGAUCUGAGCCACGGUAAUCCUUGUCUCUGGGUUCGUGUCAAGCAGACGAUUCAAUAGACUGGUCAGAUCCUUGGAGAACCACCUCGGGCACCGGAAUUCCCCCCUGUAUAUCUUACGGUACAUUGCCAUGAGGUUCUGAUCAUGGAAUGGAAGGUAGCCAGCCAUGAGCACGAAGAGGAUGACACCGCACGACCAUAUGUCCGCCUUGGCGCCGUCGUAGCCGCGGCGCGCGAGCACCUCCGGCGCGACGUAGGAGGGCGUGCCGCAGAAGGUGUGGAGAAGCCCAUCGGGGUGGAACUGAUCGGCGACGGCCGAGAGUCCGAAAUCGGAGACCUUGAGAUCGCCGCGCUCGUCGACGAGGAGGUUCUCGGGCUUGAGGUCGCGGUGGAAGACGCCCCGUGCGUGGCAGAAGCCGACGGCGGAGAUGAGCUGCUGGAAGUACCUUCGCGCGAUGUCCUCCUUGAGGCGGCCCUUGGCGACGCGCGCGAAGAGCUCCCCGCCGCGGACGUACUCCAUGACGAAGUAGAUCUUGGACUUGGUGGCCAUGACCUCGAAGAGGCGGACGAUGUUGGGGUGGCGCACGCGGCGGAGGAUGGCGAUCUCGCGCUUGAUGUGUGGGACGAGGCCGUGGCGGAGGGCCUUCUCCUUGUCGAGCACCUUGAUGGCGACGGUCUCGCCGGUGUCGGCGUGGCGGGCGAGGUAGACCUUGGCGAAGGUGCCGUGGCCGAGGAGCCGGCCCAGCUCGUAGCGGCCGAGCAGGAGGCCCCCGCGCUUGUGGGGCCCCGCGGAGGAGGCCGGACGCCGGGGCUGCGGCGACGGGUCCCGCGACGACGGCGGGGUGCCGGCCAUCGGGUAGCGGAGGCGGCACAGGGAGACGCGGAGAAGCGGAGGGGAACGCGGGAUUAGCCGAUUAGGUGGUGGUGGUGAGGGCACGGGGGUGCGGGCGGGCGGGCGGGCGGGAGGGAGGGGAAGGAAGGUGAUGGGUGGCCGGCAAUGGAGGGGGCCAACAGCUAACGGCUCCUGAAUAGUUUCCGUUCUCUUUUCAGUUCGCCCUUCUGUGCAGCGCUGGACGUAUGACCUGCUCUGCUGGAAGUUGGACUUCUGCGAGGAUGUGAAUUGUGAUAUACGCAACCACAGAGGUUGUAGCUGCAAGUGUGCCACAAAAGUUUUCGUAUAAAUAGAAAGGUUAUAAGUGCACUGUACAACAAGCUGGAUGACAACGUGACCCAGCCGGGAAAUAGAUGGGCUGAGUUUCCAUACACGUAACUUUUUUUUGAAAGCGUGCACGUAAAAUGAGUUGUGUGUUUUCUGAUUUUAUGCACGAGGACGGUAGUUUGAUGUGCUACCGCUUCCGGGGGGUUGAAUGCAAACACGCUGACGCUAGGGAGGUACGGUCACUGACCGCAACGUGCUACGCACCCAAUGGCCUGAGCUGGCGCCUGGCGGUGGAGCCGGCAUACGUGGAGCAUUCUGGGCGGCGCAGACGGAUGGCAGGCCGGUGCACGUCGGCAUCGCGCGGAAACCUUCCGCGGGGGCGCGGCUCCGAGUCGCGAACUGGCACCGACCGGCGACUACUGCGGACGUGUGGAGGUGGACAUCUUCUUUCCGGUGAGAGCUGACGAGGCCAGAGGGAGGGAGAGGCAUGGGCGCCGUUGCCGAACCAUCUGGUUCGUUUCGCGCUUCGGCAGUAGGUUUCUGCCGCCACCAUUGCCGGGACGCGGUGGGAACCGCGGGCCGGCGUGUCAUGGGUGGGUACGGACAAAUUCACCUUCUUUCACGUCCAAAUCCAAAUAAUUUAGGGGCGUUUGGUUCCCUUUGCUUAUUUUUAGCACGUGUCACAUCGAAUGUUUAGAUACUAAUUAGCAGUAUUAAACGUAAACUAUUUACAAAACCCAUUAUAUAGAUGGAGGCUAAACGGCGAGACGAAUCUAUUAAGCCUAAUUAAUCCAUAAUUAGCAAAUAUUUAUUGUAGCAGCACAUUGUCAAAUCAUGGACUAAUUAGACUUAAUAGAUUCAUCUCGCCGUUUAGCCUCCACUUAUAUAAUGGGUUUUGUAAAUAGUCUACAUUUAGUACUUCUAAUUAGUAUCUAAACAUUCGAUAUGACGGGUGCUAAACUUUAGGGGGAGGAACCAAACACCCCCGAUCUUACCCUCUCCAAUCUCACACAUACCCAAUAUAUAAUUAACUAUGUCCUAUAUAUAUACAUAUACAACUAAUUAAUUAUUCACCUCUCAUACCCCACCCUCACCAUUUUUAAUGGAUAUAUAAUUUUCUACUUAUAUCCCUAUAUUCGAAGUGGGUAUGGAUUUAAGGAGAGGAUAUGAACAUCCCGUGGCAGACCUACCGGCGGACGAGCUCGGCUCGGCGGCCGUCGGCGUAAUGGGGUGGCUUGGUGCCUUCGUGCAAACAUAAAAAAAAAAGCCGGCGUGUAGCGCACCAGCUAGGACCAAGCUGCCGAUUUUAUUAUUGCUGCCGGGCGGCGGGUUCAUCAUCGUCAUCAGUAUGGCCAACAAUCGUCUAAAAAGUCCAUUAAGAAAAGCGGGUGUUUGGAUCUUUAGUCCGGACUAAAAUUCAUAUCAUAUCGACUAUUUGGAGGCUAAUUAGGAGGACCAAAUAUGAGCUAAUUAUAAAACUAAUUGCACAUAUGGAGACCAAUUCCCAGAACGAAUCUAUUAAGGCUAAUUAAUCCAUCAUUGGCACAUGUUUACUGUAGCACCACAUUGUCAAAUCAUAGACUAAUUAGGCUUAAUAGAUUCAUCUCACAAAUUAACCUCCAUCUGUACAAUUAAUUUUAUAAUUAAUCUAUAUUUAAUACUCCUAAUUAGUAUAAAUAUUCGAUGUGAUAGCAAUUCAGGAACUCACGAAGAAACAAACGGAGCCUGAAAAUGCCAUCUUGGGCCAAAGUUCUGGACGAAGGGCUGAUGUGAUGGGGGGUCCAUGUGGUAAGGCCCGUUUUCUUUUGUUUUGGAUAAGGAGUAAGGCCCGGGUUGAUCUUGGGCUUCAUGUGACCCUGAAAUUGGUUGGUUGGGCUUGUGCUUCAUUCAAAUUCAAAGAAUGUGCGACUGCGAGCACGGUCCUCAGAGUUCUAAAUUACUAUUCAUUUUGACUUUUUCAAAUACAUAAAUUUUACUAUGUAUCUAGACAUAGUAUACAUAUGUAUAUAUGCAUAUCAAAAUGUAUGUAUUAGGAAAAACCAAAACGAAUAAUAAUUUGGGACAAGGGUGUAUAUAAAAUCCAACCAAUUGAUCAUCAGGUUGCUUUCUCGCUCUUCCUUCCUCAAUCUCGCACCACCAUUUCAAAAUACCACCAUGAUACCAUGACAUCUCCUUUAACUUCAACAGCCUGAAACUCAUACGUGGAAGGCAUAAAUGUAACGGGAUUUCUAAACAUCUCAUGAGUGAUUUUAUUUGCUGUUUUCGCUCAUUUUUCUCGGCUGAGAUCUUGUGCAGAUUCAUGUGGCUUUGAUCGAAGAGUUGUUUUGUUGGGUGCCUUUUAGACUUUUUAUUAUUUUAUGUCAGCCUAUUAACGAAGUAUGUGUCUUCUCUCCUGUGGUCGCCCUCACCACCGUGUUUGUUGUGGCAGGCAUCCGACAUCCGCCCCAGGGACUUUGCCGACAUUGAGGCCCUCUCGUCGAGGCGGUUCAACGCUACGGUAAAUCAAAUGUUGUCGGUGUUUUAUACCCGGCAACCUACCAAGAAGUAUCCUGAGGUAGUAGAUUUGUUGGUGGGGGAUCGCUGGACCUGGAACUUGAUAGUAAAAGUGAGCACACAAGAUACAGAUUUAUACAGGUUCGGGCUACCAGAGUAGCGUAAUACUUUACGUCCUGUUUGGGGUGUUGUAUAUUGCGCCAUGCGCGUGGGUGUUGUUUGGUAUUGAGAAUUUGGUCCUCUGUUGUGGUUCCGCCGAUCUAAGUACCUCGGCCCUCUUUUAUAUACUUCAGGGGGUGGGAUUACUAGUCGGUUACCAGGUAGGAGUCCUAUUAGGAUUACAUUGUAUGAGUCCUAAUAGGAUUAUAGGGUAAUCCUAGUAGGAGUCUGUCUUCUUCCUUCGUUACGGGUACUUGGGAUUUAUCCCCGACAAGACCCCAAGCACUUCAUAGUCGAGUGCAGCAAUCCUUGAUUACUUUUUAGAUUCUCGCCGAGUAGUUCUAAUGCUCUUCGAGUACUUUGUCUGGCUGAAUCUUCAAAGUGCUUCGAGGAUGUCACGAGGCUAGUGUGCUCAAGCCCUUAAUCGUCUUGAUUUUGUAAUCUUCAUCUUUGGAAUGUGAUAUAGGGGGCAACGAAAGUCGCACUCCAUAUGGAGUAGCCCCCGAGCCUUAGGUUGAAUCGAAGAAUCGGGUUGAGAGUCAAAUAAGAUCUUGAAUCUUCUUCUUUCAUCUUAAAAAAAUUAACUGUUGGGUGUAGCUACUCAGCUCUCGAGCCUUGGAAUGAUUAAAUAAUCAAUCCAAGGAUCUUUAGUCUUCACAAUCAUCUUUCGAGUAGCCAUUUGGCGUCCAGCCCUUGAGCUUAUGCGCUGGGUGAGCAGUAGGAGCCAUGUUGAGUAGUUAUUGGCGCCCGGCCUCCGAGCAUGGGAGCUAGUGGAGCUACCGGAGGUAUUUCGAGUAGUAAUUGGUGCUUAACCCCCGAGUUUGGAAGCUAGCUAAGCCAUUGGAGGUACGCUGAGCAUCCUGGAGAGUUGCCGCUGAAGCUUGACCUGAAAAAAAGAGAGAUGCAUACAUUAUGUAGCAUAUUUAAAGAAUUUUGAAGAUACUACCGAAAUUUAUUCGGUGAUGAAAGUAAAUGUUGUGUGUCAUGCUCUUGUUUCGACCAUAUUUCUCCCAAGUAGUUAGCCUGUUACGUUUAGACUCUCAGUCCUUGUUUAGCUAUUGCCACUGUGUGUAGAUUUUUGUCUCGGGUAUGCGUACUGGCACUGCUGCUACGCAUCUGAGAUCUUUGUGUCGUGUAAGCGUCCUAGCAUUUAGGCAUGAUAGAAAAUCCGAAACUUUCACGCAUUAAGGCGUGUUUUGCUCGAGGAGAUUAGUGACCCCUAAGAGAAGACAACAAAAAUAAGUAGCCGACAUUGCGAAAAAAAGAGCGCGAUUCUGCGUAAAGUAGUCAUUGAGACUUUUCUACCUUUUGGCAAGGAGAGCGCGUCUUGCCGUGCAUAGGAUUUGUGCCUCCUUAGGAUGUAGCCGCUGCGAGCUUCCAGCACUCAGUGCACCAAACCUGUGGCCGUAGCCUCCAAAAUUCAAUGUACCAAGCUUGUUGGCAGAGCUUCUGGAAUUCAGUGCACAAAACCUGUGGCUAUAGCCUCCGUAAUUUAGUGUACUAAACCCAUGGCUGUCGGUUAACAUACCCUAGAAAUAAUGGACAAAGUGUAUCUCUGGAGGGUAAUUUCCGUCGAGAGACGUACACAAGAAUAUACUUGGCUUGUUGCCCUGCAUGCUGAAAACAAGCUGGAAAAAUUAUAUAAAAUAAUUAAAAAGUGACUUAGCUUGAUUCGUGUACGAUUGUCGACGAAGUUGCGGCGGGUUGUUGAUGAAGAUAACUAGUCGGAGUCAAUUCCGACUAGUUGUUGAUCACGUGCAACCCGCCCUUGACUAGUUUGUAGUCGAGAUGAGAAGUUUUAGGUAGUCGCUACUGUGUCGCCGAGCAUUCUAGUGAAGCUAGCACAAUCAUGCAUGCUGAAAUCACAUGUGCAUUUCUUGAGUACGUGUAGUGAAGAGCAACAGAUCUCCUGGUAGCCUUCUUAGUACGUGUACUGAAACUCAAAAAGUAGCCUUGCAUAGAGAGUACUCGAGCUGACAGUUUCCUCGAUCCGUGCAUGAGCAGUAGAUGGAAUAUUGAUUGGCCUUUCAUCGUUUCAGUAUAGGAUUCGGCAACUGGAGGCAAUUAGCUUAAGAUGCAUCGUUGGUGACUUCGACUCGGAGACGGAAAAAUAAUUCCACCAGUAUUUUUCCUUCUCACGGGCGUGGAGCGGUAGCGGAUCAUCAGCCUUGAGCAACGCACGGAGCCACGGAGUAUGAUCAGCUAUAGUAGUGCGACUAGUGCUGCAGCUUUUUGCAUGUAGACGAGCCGACAACCGAUUGAUCUCCUGCAAACUUCUCGUAUCCGCUUCGAAUUGGAACUCAGCGACUUGCUUAUCGUCGAGUAGAUUGAUUUUGAAGAUGAGGUACUUCAAGCUCGCACGACGAUCACCCCUACCUGGCACACUAGGCAACCUAUCGAGGGGUAUCCCAAGUAAUAGAUUUGUUGGUGGGGGAUCACCGGACCUGACACUUGAUGGUAAAAGUGAGGACACAAGAUACAGAUGUAUACAGGUUCGGGCUGCUAGAGUAGUGUAAUACCCUUUGUCCUAUUUGGGGUGUUGUACAUUGCGCCCUGCGCUUGGGUGUUGUUUGAUAUUGAGGAUUUGGUCAUCUAUUGUGCUUCUGCCGAUCUAGGUACCCAUGCCCUCCUUUAUAUACUCCAGGGGUGGGAUUACUAGUCGGUUACAAGGUAGGAGUCCUAGUAGGAUUACAUGGUAGGAGUAUUAAUAGGAUUACAGGGAAAUUCUAGUAGGAGUCCGUCUUCUUCUUUCCUUGCGAGUACUGGGGAUCUAUCCCCGACAAACGCGGCAAAGAAUGGCCACGCGAGGACGGUGGCAUGCUGUUGCGGUCAGUGACGGAUCUUAGGGGGGCUUUGGGGUCCCCUACUACCUAGGAUCCCAUGGAUCCCCCGGUAGGGGGGCUCGAGCCCCCACCCCCCUUAGAUGCGUCAUUGGGCAUCAUAGUAGGUGAAGCGUGGCGAAACAUGGCUGGUAUCAAGCACCCUCAAUGUCGCUAUUAUCACAGCACACCCAUACCAGUUUCACAUAUUGAGGUAAUAAAAAUCUCCAUAUCAUAAUUGGAGAAUAGAAGAGGUACGCUGCCAGGCUCGUACAUUAUGUGGCGCAAAGCAGCGCGAUCGUGCCGGGUCACCAAUUUUGAGGGGUCACCCUAAGCAACAAUUAGCAUAAUAAAGCAUGUUUCCAAUCUUUUCUACAUCAAGUCCAAUAGCUCGCAGCUCAGGCGAUCAAAUCAAGCAUUUGCGGAAAAAGAGUCUGCAGUCAUGAUACCUCAUCUUCCAUCUACAACUACGGCACGAGGCUGACGUGGACACAGGUGCAAUCGGCAUUUAGCAAAAUUGCGACCUAGUGCGAGUCCACGAGGCAUCAGUGGUUAUCAUAAGUAUAUUAUGAAGUAUAAUGCAUUUUUCUUAUUUGCAUGUUGGAAAUAUAUAGGGCAACCAGUUUAUUUUUUGCAUAGGGUCUCAAAAACUUAGGUACGGGGCCUGCGGCCUGCCGCCUGAGGACCUAUUUGGAUGUGCUAUUGUUAAAGUUUAGUUCAUCUAAAGUUUAGCAUUUUUACCCAUUAGCAUUCUGUUUGGUGACAUGGCUAAUAGAUGGAGCUAAAGUCCAUAAAAAAUCAUUUUUACCCCUUAUAUCCUCACCUCCUUCCUUUUUCUCUCACCCUUUUUGUCUUUUCAUAAACCAUUAGCACGCAUUAGCUCCUCCACACUAGUUAAUAUUUUUACACCUUUUAAGUAGGCUAAAGUUUAACCCUAUUAUUAACCCACCAUUUAAUUGGACUAAUUCAUUAAAAGUGCUAAACUUUAACACUUCCAUCCGACCAUGGAUCCAUGCUAAAACCCUUCCUUCCUCCGGCCGCCAGAGAGCGGGAUCCACGCGACCACGCCAGAACAGAACGAAUCCACCGCACUCCCACAGCGCCUCGCAAGCGCCGAAACGAAAAGCCAGACCCGUCCAGAUUCACCCGCCUGGCACUUGGCCGCACCCCCAACCUCCGCGGCGCGGCCGGCCGCGGUCCGCGCCAGCCACGGGGGAUCCGGCUCGCCCCCCGCUCCUCACUCGUGAAAACUCGCAAAACCACCGGCCGGCUACAGAGUUACCAACCACCCUCCCCGAUCGGGCGCACUCAAAUGAUCAGCCACCUCCCCUUCCCCCACGCCCUCGCCUCCCCUCUCCGCGCCCACUGCCCCACUCCCCCACGCCUCUCGCGCCCGCCGCCCCACCCACGCGGCGCAGGUAACCGCCGCGCCGCCUCCUCGAACCCCCCGCGAUCCCAGCCUUAUCUUCCCGUCGUCCUCGACCAGCGGCGCACGAGGGUUCCCGAGUCCUGACGCGAUUUUCGGUGCCGCUCUCUGCAGGGAUAGGGGGCCUGGGCUGCGUGCAGGCCAAGGGCGCGCGCCGCAGCUGCCGCGCUAGCGUCUCCGCGUCGGCCGCCGCGCGGACGGAGAUGGACCCGUCGGAGGUGAAGAAGGGCCUGUACGUGCAGGUCGAGCCGUACGAUACCGGAUUCCUCAAGGUCUCCGACGUCCACACCAUCUACUACGAGCAGUCCGGGAACCCCCACGGCCACGUGAGCGUCUGAUUUUCCCAUCUUCUGUCUUGGAUUGAGAGAUGUUGGGGUCUUUUGUUUCCCAAUUAUCUGCCGUCCCUCCUACAAUUAGUCGCAGACUGCUCGGAACCCCGUGCACUUGUGCUUGCACUCUCGGAUGAGCUUCUCAUCCCGUCGAUUUUGGCAUUUUGCAGCCGGUGGUGUUCCUCCACGGGGGUCCCGGCGCCGGCACGUCGCCUGGCAACAGGAGGUUCUUUGACCCGGAGUUCUACAGGAUCGUUCUGUUUGACCAGGUCACCUUGGCGAUUCUCUCACUCUCACGUCGUUGUUUAUUGUUAUUGCCAGGGGAUUGUAUCUUGUUGCUUAAUUUGCUUUGCCGGUGGUUACAGAGGGGCGCAGGCAGAAGCACUCCCCAUGCUUGUUUAGAGCAGAACACUACUUGGGACUUGGUAGCUGACAUUGAGAAGCUCAGGGAACAUCUUGACAUCCCGGAAUGGCAGGCAAUUAUCUUGUCUUUUUUCACCAACUUUGGUUACUCACUCAUCUGCAGUGGAACUCAUUGUUCCCAUAUAAUGUAGGUGUUUGGUGGUUCAUGGGGAAGCACCUUGGCCCUUGCUUACAGUCAGACACACCCUGAUAAGGCAAGUAAUUUAUCGUCCAUUGCAUUUUUAUUUCAUCCUAAACUUAUGUAGCAUACAGGUGGGAAUGGAAGCUAUAUUCUGGAUCCCACUAACACUAUUUGGAUGCUCACCAGGUCACUGGCAUUGUUCUAAGAGGAAUUUUCUUGCUUAGGAAAAAGGAGCUUGAUUGGUUCUAUGAGGGCGGUGCAGCAGCCAUUUUCCCAGAUGGUUUGUAUUCUCGGUUUUGUGUCAUAGAGAAAAAAAUGCUUCGAUAAACAUUAACCAAUCAUUUUCACUGUUGCAGAAUAAUAUCGGCAACUUUUAUUAAUUAUGGCAUACCUUCUCAGUGACUAUACCAGAAGUUAAAUGACAAUACUAAAUGUCAAUGCAAUUGGUUCUAGUGUUCUCUGAAACUAUUUUACUUUCCGAUUUUAUGAAAGAAAAAACAACCUAUGUGCUCGUGCCACUUUGUUUGAGUAAAUAACUUUAGUUUCAAAUUUGCAGCAUGGGAACCAUUUAGAGAUUUUAUUCCUGAGGAGGAAAGGAAUUGUUUCAUAGCUGCAUAUAGCAAAAGGCUAACUUCAUCCGAUCCUACUGUUCAGGUAUGAUAACCCAACUCAUUUCCAUUUCAAAGUAAAAUACAUCUAUCAUACUUGUGGGGCAUGUCGUAACUUCGUAAUUUCUUACUUAUUUUGAUAAAGAGACAUUUGCCUUUUCCCCUUAGAUUGAAGCUGCUAAGCGAUGGACGAUGUGGGAGAUGAUGACUGCACAUCUUAUCCAAAAUAAUGAUAACAUUAAACGAGGGGAAGAUGACAAGUUUUCACUGGCAAGUCCUCUCACAAGCGUCUUUUUUUUUUCUUUUGGUAACACUACCAGCCUACCAAUAUUUCAGUUUCUUUUGUUUCGCCCCAACUUAGUGCAUUGAUCUUUUCAGUUCUCAUUCUAAUAUUUAGCUUUGUAUAGAGAUUGAGAGAAGAAUGAUUUUUCAGUUUUCAUUCUGAUAUUUAGCUUUGUGUAGAUAUUGAGAGAAUAAUGCCUUUAAGGCUUCUGUACUAUUUUACUUAAAUUGUUUCUGUGCUCAAUGUUACUCUGGACUUAUAAAAGAGCAAAAUAAGCAAUCAUUGUAUAGUCACAAUUUGGAAAACCUAUUUCAUAAUGCUAAUAACUUGUUGCCGGCGAUGGCUGUAGAAAUCUGCACUGAUUCUGAAUUUAAAAUUACAAAUUGCAACAUAUGUUUAUAAGGCAUGUUUUAGUUGAUGUUUCUAUGGUUUACAGGGUCGAAUAACAUGUUAUUUUAUAUUUGUUGAUACAUGGUUCAAUUUUUCAGGCAUUUGCAAGGAUUGAAAAUCACUAUUUUGUUAAUAAGGGAUUUUUACCCUCAGACUCAUACCUAUUAGACAAUGUUGACAAGAUUCGGCAUAUUAAAGCUUUUAUUGUACAGGUAUGCUUUUCAAUAAGCUUGUUCUUUACACAAUAUCCAUGUGCAUCUGCUGGUAGCUGGGUACAUAUGUGCGUAUCAGUAAUGCAUGAUAAAAUGCUACACAUUAUAUUUCACACAUCACGGCUGCACAUUGCCUUUAGCUCUUCAUCCUUGUCUACCUUCAAUUGUCAUUAAACUUCUAGCCAAUCAUGUAGUUUUUUGUUAUUGUCUAGCAUGGUUGCCAGGAUAAUUUGAAACCUCAAAUCCAUGAUAGAAACGAAAUUGGUAAAAAGCGUCAUUGUGCUCAUACCUGAUUACUUAUUAUGUUGCAGGGGCGUUAUGAUGUUUGUUGCCCUAUGAUGUCCGCUUGGGAUCUUCACAAAGCUUGGCCGGAAGCAGAAUUCAAGGUAAAUUAUGCUUGCAUCAUUCUUCCAAAAAUAUCAGAUAUGAUAUUCAUGUUGGAAACUGGGAUUAAUUGGACUGUUAAUAUUGAAGCACAAAAAUAGUUUUUCCAAGAGUUUGGUUCCUGAAUGAACCAGUGGUUAAAGUAGGUGAUUGCGAUCUUUUGAAGUCAUAAGCUUUUCUGAUAGUAUAUUGGCCACUAAACUGAAGCUGGAAGCCUGGAAGACAUGCUGUGUCUUUACUUUUUAUAGAGUGUAGUACUAAAUAUUUACUUUUGUACUUUAAAUUUGCGAUUUGCCAUAUGACUAAUCACUCCUCCAAGAUGUUUGCUAAGCAAUAUUUCUUGGCAUGAUAUAACAAUAACUUUACUUACCACUGUUUGAUACUGGCAUCUGCAUAGCCAAUAUUCAGAACCCUUGGCAAAUUAACUAGAGAUUGUUCCCCAAUCUGUACCUUACAUCUUAACAGUCCGAACCACUGGUAAAUUUGACCACUUAUAUAAUUCCUCUUACUGGAUGCAGGUGGUCCCAGAUGCAGGGCACUCAGCCAAUGAAGUAGGUAUUGCCGCCGAACUGAGGUCAGCCACAGAGAAGCUGAGGGACAUGUUGCGAAAAUGAGCCGGCGAAAGGCAUGUGCCGGCGUGCCGCCCGUCUGAUGAUCGAAUUCAGAGGCGCAGAAUAAAACCCAUGGCUGUAGCGGUUAGCAGAGCCUGAUUGUAAUGUGUUGUUAAACAAAUGUCACUGUCAAACAUACCUUAACCAAUCAGAGCAGGCUUGAUUCCCGGGUAUCUUUCAGAACUGCGUUGUUUGUUGCCCUGUUGGUUUACUGGUGUGUCGAAGGAAUUGAAAUUUCAAUGCUGGGCCAAAUCCGACGCUUCUUGCGCCUGAACGGAUUACAAACAUACGAAUCUGUAGCAAAGCAAUGCCAACAGAGCCAUGAACAUUCAUGGUGCAGAACAAACGCUCUAGCUUGCUUGUAUCUUACUAGUACUUAUACCACAUCCCUCUUGCAGAACAUUACAGCAAUCCUCGUCCAACACAAACUUCUUACAUGACACUACAGUCUGGGUAAGUCAGUCCUCGAAAAGCCUGACGCACUAAGCCUAAAAAUCAAAGCGUACAGAAGAGCUAAGUAAAAUGAAAGGAGCAUUCAUCCAAAGCUUGUCCCAUUCUAUAGCAAAUUCACUUGCCACAAGUUCACACCACAUACACAUAUGCAUCGCGGCUUCAUCUCCUUCGAGCGCCUAAGCAGCACACGUGCUUCCACACAUCAGGUUCCUGCAGAACAAGAGUCAUAACAAGAAAAACAGUUUCAACAUUUGCUACAAAAAAUUGUUUUUAAGUUUGAAGAGCAGCAGAUGAGCCAGACGCCUUCUUGAUGUCAUAGAAGCGGGUUUUUUUUUUCUGAUAAACUGGCCAGUAGACUAAACAUUCUCUCAAGUCUUCACCAUUCUGACCCUUUUUUUAAGAUUUCGGUGGUUUGAAAUCACUAUAACAGUCUACUAUCAUCAUAUUAUCCAACUAGUAAACGGUAGAAAGAUGAAGCUUACAUUAUAGAGCAUCCGCCGCGCCUACUUUUCCUCCUGGCAGGCAUUGCCUCCCUUCUCCGUGGGGGUUGAAGGACCACUUUGAUGGCGGUAUCAAAGACAGCCUUGACAUUCUAGAAUGGCCAACAUCAUUACAAAAGUCAGUAUAUUCAUCUAUUGCCAACAACCCAUAUAUGUCAACUUAAAUUAACGAAACGACAAACCAUAUUUAAACAGGACAUAACAGAUCAAAAUCAUUUCACAUGAGGCAUGACUACCUGCUGCGUUUUGGAACUGCACUCGAUGUAAGCUGCAGCACCAAUCUGCUUCCUCAGUUCUUCACCCUGCAUAACAGGAGGAAUAGAACUAUAAGAGAAACUGUAAGGUACUUCGCAUAACUAUUUGCUGGUAAGAUACAACAUUCGGCACUAUAGACGAUGAAAGAGCUAACCUGUGCUGUCGUGAUUGUUGAAGCUCCAGGAUGGUCAGCAAGGUAGGCCCUGUGGUCACGGAGAUCUGAACAAUUCAACCAAAUUCCUUGAUUAGCUAUUGGAUCUUGGAAGAACAAUCAUGACAACGAACAUGUGGCAUUAAACUUCAUUGAAUCAAGGUCACAUUCAGCAUUUCCUCACCUAACUUGGUCCCAACAAGAACAACUGGAACAUUGGGCGCAAAUCUGCGAAGCUCUGGCAUCCACUGUUUGGUCAGAAAUAGAAUGAUCAGUUCCUAAUGACCCAGCAAUAAUAACCACAUAAUCUGAAAAGCAGAAACUGCAAAGAUUCUGCUAGCUAUGCUGAUCAGUUCAUAAUGACCAAGCAAUAAUAACCACAUAAUCUGAAAAAGCAGAAACUGCAAAGAUACUGCUAGGUAUGUAGUCACAAGAAAAAAUAAAGCUCUUCUGCAGCUACUAUGUUCAGUAUCAUUAUCAUUUGUCAGAGAUUGACAUACUGAAAUCUAACAUUGAAACUUUAGGUUUUCCUGGAUCCCCUCCUACACAGGCAAUUGGCUAUAUUACAUCUGCACCACGAUUCCAGGCUUUCUUGGGUUCUCUCCCUACGAACAGGCCACCCACCAGCCACCAUACAACAAUACAAGCACUUGCCAAUCUUAUCUACAUACCUUCUUAAGAACAUUCUCAUAGCUUGCCCUGCUGAUCAGGGAGAAAGCCAGCACGAACACGUCUGCGCCCCUGUAGCUCAGUGGCCUCAGCCUGCUGUAGUCCUCUUGCCCUGAACAAAGACAACAGGCAGAGAUAUUUUUAGGAUGCCCAGCCACUGACUGUAUCAAAGUUUAGCUGUGAAAUGGUAAGCAAGCAGUACCAGCGGUGUCCCAGAGGCCCAGGUUGACGAUGUUGCCAUCCACGGAGACGUUGGCGCUGAAGUUGUCGAACACCGUGGGAAUGUAAUCCUGUCAGGAACCACGAACAGAGCGCCGUCAGUUUCAGGAACCAGAGAACUGAAUGCGCACCGCGAACUGAUGAUUCCCUCACAGGUUUUCCGCAUUCUCAAAGAGGAAAGGGACAGGAGGAGAUGGAGCAUAACACACAUGCCGAGUGAGUGCCUGCUGCCUACUCCUAUCACUAAUGCUGGAAAACAUCAAACGACCUAGGUUUGGAUUCAGAAACAAACUGAAAAAUGUGCCGCUCCUACCACUGGACAGCCAGUUUUGUACCGGAAGGUGCCCAAAAUCCCAGAGCCAGAUCGAGCAGAAAGAAUCUGACGAAGAACAAGGAGGAGGGGAUGGGCGCCGCCCGCGAAUGGAGGAGGAAAGCAGGCGUGCGCGCAUACCGUGGGGAACUUGUUGCUGGUGUAGCAGAUGAGCAUGCAGGUCUUGCCCACCGCGCCGUCGCCCACCGUGACGCACUUGAUGAACUUGGUUACGCUCAUCUCUCCCAACUCCCCCUUCUCUCUUUCCCCUGGCUCUCUUCUCCCGCACACCAGGCAGAGGCGGCGGCUACUGCUAGUAGUAGAAAGAAACAGGACAAAGAGCAAAGCAGGAGGGACAGAGACAAGAAUGCUCGCCUCGCUUGUCUUCUCCGAGAAGGCAAAGCCACUCCACUCCACUCCACUCCAAGCCAAGCCAGGCAAAGGCACCGGCCUGCCGCUUCCUUAAAGAACUCGCCGCUCGCAGCUGGCUGUGCGCGCUGCUACCGGUGGCCUUGGGAGGCGUGGGUGUAAAUGCGACGCGCAGGGCAGGGAGGGAGAGAGGGAGGGCCGGGCCGGCCGGUCAAGAUUCAAGAAGGUUGCUUGCCGCAAGAGCCCUUCUCCUGAGGCCAGCUGCGCUGACAGCUCUGCGCCUCUGCUGACGGCCUGCUGCUGCUACUGUUCCUUGCCGUGAUUACACAAAGAUUGCCCUCGUGCUCGUGUUACCUUAAUCGACGCGUCCUGCCCGGUGCUGCAGCAACGUGAUCACGAAUCGGGAGGACACAGUACGCCCCACUACGUCCAACCUUUGAGCCUGAUUAUUAUAAAACUAUUGCUACUGUAUUAAGCGAAAAAGGCAAAAUAUUCGGGCUAAGUUGGUGGAGCUCCAACAGUUCCGACUCCUCCCCGUAGCGUCAGAUGAGCCAGAGCCGGAGUAGCUAAAAAUAACUGACUCCAUCGGCUCCUCCUUGAUCAGUGAGAGAGGGAGGAAGAAGAGAGAAAAAAUAUCUCACGUGAACAGUAUUGCUACGUAAACAUCAAGAUGGCAGGGAGUCGGAACCGUUUCGAACCGCACCGAACCGGCCCUCGUACUUCAUGCGCUAUACUGCUUGUGAUGAAAAGGGUAGUACAGUAGUGCUCGUGUGCACGGAAAACAUUUGAAUUUGUUUAAGCUCAAGUUUCAACGUUCAAAUCUGGGGGAGCGUUUUAUUCCCCCCGAAAGAAAGCGAAAAGAGUCAAAAGGAGUCCGACUCUGCUUUUUCUUUGCCCUGCGCAUAUUCAAAUCGAUCACCCAGGAGGAGCGGGGAGGAGAGGAGGGGGAGGGCGAGGCGGUGGGGCCCGCACAGGCCCGGCGCACGAGGACCCUACCCCAGCACGCGGAGCGGGUCGGGGAUCCUGUCUCCUCCUCGUCGCUCGCCUCAAAGCAAGGAGAUUUCGCUAACCAAAUUAGAGUUUUAAUCGACCACUGACAGCACUGCGCUGCUGACUGACUCGUGGGGCCAGGUUGCAGGGGACCACGUGCCAGUGACGCUCCUUGACGUUUCGCUUCCCUCUCCACUUCUUCUCCAGGCCUCCUCGAGUCCUUUUCCUUUCAGCGAGGUUUUGAAGGCCAGCGAGCGAGCAGGAGCAGAGCAGCAAGCAGAGCAAGCCCAGGCAGCCGUUCGGCAACGGUUUCCGAGACGCGCGCGGAUCGGUCGUGCUUUCCUCUCGUACGCCGGAUCCUCCACGGACACUCUCCACACCUGCUCUAGCUGACUACUAGCGCCACUAGGGUAGGGUAGGAAUUGAAUGGCGGAAUACCCGUCGCGAAUUAAAGCUGACGCCCCACAGGUCACUGACGAAUGGGGACGCGGGGUGCUGGACCCACAGGCCGUCGGUAGGGUGCGCGACGAAGCGGGUUGCUCGAGGGGGUUGGAAUUGAAUGCGUAACGGCCUGGGGUGGGGUUGUUGGUGGGAGGGCCGUUGGAUGAGUCCAAACUUGCGAUCCAAAAUCACUGACGAAGUGACGAUUUUAUUAGGUGGUGGUUCCGCUGUGCAUUUAGGCCCGACUGAGAGGAGCCCGUCUUUUAUUUGGGCCGUGCCCACCCCAGCCCAGGUCGGAAGGCCCUGAAAGCAUGAACUCAGCCCAUUCUUGUCCGCCUGGUAUCUUUUCUGCAGCGUCAAGUUAGCCGGUCAAGGCCCCUGAUUCUCUGCAGCUGCUCAAAAAGUUUGAGACGCGAGGACGACGCGGCCACAGGCCACUGACGUGUGGUCCCUCGCACACAUGAGCCCCACCUGCGAGUGACCAUGCGGGUAUUCUCACCGACGCGACGCGCGCUUCCAGGCUCUAGUGUGUUUAUUUGCAGCGCUUUGCUUUCGGUUAACGCUUGUGCCUUGGUACUUUGACCUCAGCUCAAUGACAGGCCGGCCCCACCAACCAGCCAAACAAACUACUCCUAUCAUCCCAUGCUUCCUUCGCCCGCCGGCCCGGCGCGGCGCGCGCCCAAAUGCUGCUCCCUUCGCACCACCGCCGCGCUCCCCCGCGUCGCGGAGGGCGCCAGCCCCGUGGCGGCGAGGGCAGCGGCGUCGCCGACCUCUCCUCGCGUCUCGCGGGGUUCCUAUUCCUCCUCGCCCUCGUCGCGGCCGCGCUCUGCCUCUCCUCCUCGUCCUCCCGCGCGCGCUCCGGUCGCCGCCACGAGGAAGGCGGUAGCCGCGAGACCCUGCCCGGCGGCAGCGGAGCGACGCCGAGGGUGACCAUCUUCGCUGCGCCGCGGCCGCCGCCGGAGGGCUCGCCCGCGCGGCAGGAGCUGGCGGUGCGCUCCUGGCUGGCGCUCCCGGGGAACGUCAGCGUCGUGCUCCUAGGCGCUCACGCCUCCUGGCUCGUGACCGCCGGGCGGCUCGGCCGCCGGGUUACCGUCGAUGCGGCCAUCGAUUCCGCGUACGCAUUCACAACCCCCUUAACCUCAUACAUAAUCUACGUUGCUCUGCGCCAUGAACAAAUGAACUCGUGGCUGCAACACGGAACUGAUCACUGCCGUCUUCAUCCUUGGUUUAGGUUCAUGGGGACGCCAUUCUUCCACUCGAUUGUCGCGAGAGCACAAGCUGCCCCUGACUCCGACAUUUGCGUUCUUGUCGAUGCUGAGAUCAUCCUUCUUCCUGAAAUUUUCGACGCAUUGGCACAUUUCAGCAAGGUUGAUCGUGAUUGGUUCCUUGUUGCAAUGUCACGUAACAUCACCGAGUUCCAUUACCAGCUCGCUGACAAUGGAAGCCACUGGGUACGAGCAGAUGGUAAAAAUGUGAGCUUCAAGAAGGUACCUUUUCCUCCAUCUAUGAACAAUGUAACAUUCAUAGAAAAUAACCGAUUGCUGUAUACCUUGUCGUUGCUGAUCAAAUGUUCUCUGUCUCCAUUAGUUGCAGGAGAUUCCAGCUGACAAGUGGGCAUCAGAAAGCUCUGACAGGGGGCUGAUUAUGGCGUGGAACAGUCCGAGCAGUCCUUUACAUGCUGGAGUUCUGCCUUCGUUUCUGUAUGGAAGAGGAGCACACAAUUGGUGGCUGACUCAUGAGGUUCUAUCAUCUGAAAUGAGACUCGUCUUUGAUGCAAGCAGUCUGGUUCUUGGAUUGUAUCCUGAAAGUUUUAGCUCGAUGCAUGACGUGAGCUCGAGUAAGAAUGACAGGUUACCUGCUGGAUCCUGGGAGUAUAAUGUCAAUCGCCACCUUGCCGCAAUUUAUGGCUCUUAUUGCUACCGAUUACCGAGAAGACACUCUACGGUGCUGCAUAAAGUGGUAAAGCAAUCUGAAGAGUAUACGUUCAGCAAAGCUGACGAGCUGACCUUGUCAGAUUUUAUAAUCAGCAAAGAAGAAAAAGCUCAUGGAGGAGGCAGCCUAUGGAGGAAUGAAAACACUUGCUUAUCUGGACAUCUGCACAGCUCUGAUCUUCCAUAUUCUUUGAGCAUGCUACUUGAGCUUGCUGCUGAUAAGAACAGGUCUGUUGUCCUUGGUGUGGCUGGAGUAAGUUACAGGGACAUGCUCAUGACUUGGGCGUGCCGCUUGCGCUAUCUUAGAGUUACCAAUUUUAUAGUCUGCGCCUUAGACCACGAGACAUAUGAAUUCUCAGUUUUACAGGUAGUUAUUUUCAGUCACAUCCUUUCUUCUCCUUUUCUCUAUUUUUAACCUCUUUACUUUGCAAAUCACAGACCACCUCAAGCUUUCAAUCCUAAUUCUAGGGUUUGCCAGUUUUCAGAGAUCCAUUAUCACCAAAGAAUGUCAGCUUUGAUGACUGCCACUUUGGAACAAAGUGUUUUCAGCAAGUGACAAAAGUGAAGUCACGGAUUGUUCUAGAGAUAUUAAAACUGGGUUACAAUGUGCUGUUGAGUGAUGUUGAUGUUUAUUGGUUUGACAAUCCAAUGCCAUUCCUGUACUCUCUUGGUCCCGCUACAUUUGGAGCACAAUCUGAUGAAUACAAUGACACGGGUAAGUCAAGGGUCUUAUGAUUACCAUUUUUUGGUGUUUCUUCCUGUUUUGGUUCUCUUGACAAUGCACGCCUACAUCUAUCAUUGGGUCAAAUUCACUUGUAACAGGAGUUGAUUUCAUUUAGGUGGCACAAAGUUCAUCGUAAAAAAGUAAAUGACACAUGCUUUGACCAAUAAAUAUGAAUAUGGCAUAUCAAAUAAUAAAAUAAAUAUGCUAAUUCAGUUCUGUUGAUUCUCUAGAUGUUAGCUCCCUGCUAAUUUUGGCUGUGCAUUCUCAUUGCUGUUGGUUGGUUGUAGGACCAAUAAAUUUGCCACGGAGAUUGAAUUCAGGAUUCUACUUCGCUCGCUCAGACAACGCCACGGUCACUGUGAUGCAGAUGAUAGUAAAACAUGCAACUAAUUCCGGCUUAUCUGAGCAACCUAGUUUCUACGAUGUCAUGUGUGGGGAAAAUGGAACAAACCGCAUCAGUGACGACAAAUGCCUGGAGGCCAACACAAACUUGACUGUUGUUUUUCUGAACCGGGACUUAUUCCCCAAUGGAGCUUACAAGGGUCUAUGGGAGAAGCAUGAUGUACAAUCAACUUGCAAGGAGCUUGGUUGUUUCAUCUUGCACAACAACUGGAUAAAUGGGAGGAAGAAGAAGCUCCAGCGGCAGAUGUCGUCUGGGUUGUGGGACUAUGAUCCUAGCUCUAGGCUGUGCUUGCAGGAUUGGAGUGAUAGAGGUAGCUUCAGACAAAUGGGCCAUUUUUAUCCGUUUGAGGACAGUGACAGAUAAUGACUUCACAACAUGUACCCAAGACGUCUGUUUUUUUUUGGAUAAAAAUGUCUGCCAAAUCUUUAUGGCAGUAAUACAGAACGCUCAUAUGCAUGCAUAGUAUUUGCACAAACUUGAAUUCAUAUGUACUCCCUCCGUUCCAAAAUAUAGGUCGAUUUGACUUUUCUAAAUAUGUAGAUUUUGCUAUGUAUCUAGACAUAACCCUAUAUUUAGAUGCAUAGAAAAAUUUAUAUAUCUAGAAAAGCCAAAACGACCUAUAUUUUGGAAUGGAGAGAGUAGAUUUUUUGUUAGGUAGAAUGAAAUUUCUGAGUUUUUUCUUCCAGUUAGGCAGAUGAUAUUUCUGUGCUAGAAAAGGCAAGAAUUCUGGCCCUGAUUAAAUCCACCAAUAUGAAUAUACGCACUGUAAUUUAAGUUACUUAUUGCGUUUUCUACCAAUCUUCGGCAACUACAUUAAAAUCAACUUUCUGUGCUUUUCGGAGACACAGACCAGUAAAUUAACAUUUAGUACAGAGCAACAGCUUCGCUUCAUCUUUAGCUGAGCAUCUCGGGAGUUCACAUGUUCAGCAAGGAAUGGAUUGGUUCACAUAACAUGGCGGGAUUGAAAAGUGCAGAUACUAACUUGGAAUUUCCUUCACCAGGAGAUGAUUAUAGUUGCGUACCUCAAAAGGAAAUGAUUAAAAAACUACAAGCCGUUCGCAGGUCAGCAGCUCACUCGAGCAACAAAACAGACAGGAAGAACACAUAAAAUCCUUAAAUCACAUACCCACUUCAGUUAUCUAAAUGGAACUCUGGAAAUCAGAACAGGACAAUGUUGGGCUACAUCCUUAACAGUACAAGAGAUUUCUAAUUGCAAAAGGCGACAACCUAUUCCUGUUCUGUAUUGUGGAGGUAGAAGAUAUCACUUCAUCUUUGCUUCUGUAAACAGAACAUGCUUGUUCACACGGGGAUCAUACUUCCUAAAUUCAAGCUUCUCAGUGAUCCGCCGAGGAUUCUUGCGCUUCACAUAGAAGAACCCAGUACCAGCUGCAGAAACCAGCCUGAUGAAGAUUGAGGCACGCUUUGCUUUCCCCAUCAGUGAUUAUGAAUUUGCAGAAAAGGAGAC